UACGUAGGGGGCAAGCGUUGUUCGGAAUUACUGGGCGUAAAGGGUUUGUAGGUGGCUUGUUAAGUCAGACGUGAAAUCCCUCAGCUUAACUGGGGAACUGCGUCUGAUACUGGCGAGCUUGAGUGCAGGAGAGGAACGCGGAAUUCCAGGUGUAGCGGUGAAAUGCGUAGAUAUCGGGAGGAACAUCAGUGGCGAAGGCGGCUACCUGGCCCAAUACUGACAUUCAGGUGCGACAGCGUGGGGAGCAAACAGG
rnacentral:rRNA from 1 species